CUCGUGUUGUGAAAUGUUGGGUUAAGUCCCGCAACGAGCGCAACCCUUAUCCUUUGUUGCCAGCGGUUCGUGCCGGGAACUCAAAGGAGACUGCCAGUGAUAAACUGGAGGAAGGUGGGGAUGACGUCAAGUCAUCAUGGCCCUUACGAGUAGGGCUACACACGUGCUACAAUGGCAUAUACAAAGAGAAGCGACCUCGCGAGAGCAAGCGGACCUCAUAAAGUAUGUCGUAGUCCGGAUUGGAGUCUGCAACUCGACUCCAUGAAGUCGGAAUCGCUAGUAAUCGUAGAUCAGAAUGCUACGGUGAAUACGUUCCCGGGCCUUGUACACACCGCCCGU
rnacentral:rRNA from 1 species